UUGAACUGUAUGUGAGUGAGAGGUAGUGUAAUCCCAGACAUGAAGGAACAUCUCUGUACUCUGGACAUUGAACUGCUGACUGUAGGGACUACUGACUGUAGGGAUGCGACCCUAUUAUUUUCCCCAGGAAUUCAUGUCCGCAUUAGUCCAUGAGCCAGGGCCCCAAAUUUGGGUCAUCGAUAUCAUCUGGGGGGACAAAGGCUCAUAGUGAUUUUUGGCAAGGUAUACACCCCUAGUACUAGAAGAAUCACGAUAGCAGUGCAGGGGUGGUAACGAAAUCACUUUUUUCAGCUCAUGAAGUUACUAACCCCCUAAGAUAAAUUCUCUUUUUGAAAUCUGGUGUAUAUACUGGUUUAGGCUCAUGGUAGGGAUAUUGUCAAUAUUCUAUAAUAUGGUGCUUGGUAUUGUUGAAAAGGGGACCUUUUAGGCUUUUAUUUAAGCCUAGUACUUGGUCUGACUUCUUUAAACCAGAAAUAACACACAUUUUCUCACAAUUUCUGCUAAAACGGUGUGAUUUCUUUUACCCCUGUGGCAUGAAAGAACACCAGGGACACAAAACUCAACAACUUCAAUACUCAAGUCACUCUGAUGAUUCAGAAAAUGUAUAAUAUUUCAUACCCAAUACCCAUACUAUUUAUUUGUUAGAGCCUUAAAUUAGACUUAAAAUAGAAUGGAGCCAAUAGAAUGGACAAAUAGAAUACCCUAUUAGUCCAGGGCCAAAUGGCCUAUUUAUUCAUGUACAGCUGUAAUAAAAAGUAAUUGUUACAACAGUGUUGUCGACAUAACACUUGUAAGUGGUUUAACAAAAUGUUUCUAUCAUCUAGUUUGAUAUUCACCCACUUUCAGUUAGAAUGUCAGACAGUAGCUUAUGCACGGAAUGUUGAUGGAUUUUGACAGUUUGACAAGGUUUUUCUCAGUUUUGUGAAAAGAUCGUUGGUUGAGCUAAGUGGUUAUAACAACUAUACCACUACCACCAAUGCCAUAUUCAGUCAACUUUCAAUGAGUUUCACGGGUAUGAAAUUUAAGUACAAAAUGCUUCUUCUCUUGUGCUUGUGAAUUGAUGGGGAAUAAACAGAGGGAGAUUAUACCUAUAGCUGUACCUGUAACAGUAGCUAAUGUUAUCUUGGUGUUUUGGCAGGCUAGCUAUCUAGCAGGCUAGCUAGCUUGCAGGUUAAACAAUGUAACAGUAACAGUAACUGCUACAGUGCAGGCUAGGUUGCUUUUGUCACCCUGUUCAUUCUUGCUUCUAAAUUUAAAGGGCCCGCACGCCACUCACGUUAAACACCACCACAAAACUACUCCUAUAGCACAGCCCAUCCAUCGUUACCGACAUUGUUAAUCACGGAAAGUUACUUGAUUGAAAGUUAGUUGAUAAAGUCAUUAACUAGCAUGCUACGUUGCAACACUAGUGUGCAAUAAUUUCUCUCCUUACUUACAAACAUAUUACACAAUUAAAAGCUCACUAGGCAAACCAAUGACUAGAGGCAUGGCCAUCUUUAAUUGAUCCCUAUUAAAGUUUAGAUUCUCUGCCAGAGCCUGAGUCUGACAUUGAUAUUUUCCUCCACUAUCCUUGGGCCAGCGGGGCCCAGCAUUAGUGUGUUGUUUUUUUUUUAAUAACUCAAAAUAUUGAGUGUAUUUCCAGCUAGAAAAAGUGCAUCUCUUUCCUCCCUCCAUUUUUGUUUAUGUUUGUGUGGCAGGUUGAGCGUUGCGCCACCUCCACUAAGUUAACAACACCUGUGCUUGAUUGCGCAGUAGUACCGCCUGUUAAUUGGAUGGUCUUUGGAGCGGUUGCGCACACUAUUGCCUGGCGUUCAGCAGGAGAAGGCUCAUUCUGGCACGCUACGGUGGUUUGCACCGAGCUUGGAUUUGUACGGUCGGCAGGUGUUGGCCGUACUGUUGGGUGUCAUCGUGAUGAGGUUGAGGACUGUGGGGUCGGCUCUCAGCUCUCACCAUGAAACGGUGACAGUGUUUAGGGCUGGUUGCUAAGCUCUCUUCGCUCAGCUGUUGAGGCCACAUCUUAUCUCUCCUCCUCCUUCCCUGCGCUCUGUGUGGAGCUGUGCUGCACGGCUCUCACGUGGACUGCCAGCUGGGCAUCGUAAAGGACGGCGGUCCAUGUCCUCCAGCCCUGGUGCCAUCGCUUCGUCUCCUCUGCUGUUUCUUCUGCUGCUGCGUGGUCGAUAUCUCGAUUAAAGGGGGCACCAUCGUCCUGCUGUGUGCCCACGCAGCUUCGGAUUUUCAAUACCACCACAACUCUUAUUACUGGACUAACUUCUUUUUUUCCCCCCUUCCUUGUUGGUUUAUUUGGUUUGUUCUUUUGGGGUGAAUAUUUUUGCUUGUUCGUUUAGGUGUUACUUAGCUGUUGGCUUUGUCAUUAAUUAGCAGGAAUAUUAUGCCUGGUCCCUGCCCACAGCUGAGUUUUGGUGUCUUUUGUGUAUUAUUAUCAUGUCUUUUUUUUUUCUGAUGUGUAUUGGGUUUUUGUUAUUUAAUUAGUUAUUAGGUUCAUUUCUUUGUCUGUUGGUGUGAGUGUGUGUGGCUUUGUAUGAUUCUUGUUAACUGUAUAAUCCAAUUGCCUGAGUGUCCCACUAAAAGCAGUAUUUUAAUCUUCUUUCUUUCCUUCUUCAG